CGCAUCUGUGCAUGCAGCAUAUCAAUAAGCGGAGGAAAAGAAACUAACAAGGAUUCCCUUAGUAACAGGCGAGUGAAGCGGGAAGAGCUCAAAUUUGAAAUCUUCAAGGUUUUACCUUGACGAAUUGUAGUUUAAAGAAGUGUUUUCUGUUGAAGUUUUGGUAAAAGUUCUUUGGAAUAGGACAUCAUAGAGGGUAAGAAUCCCGUAUUUGACCAUUAUUUUCAGCUGUGUGAUACACUUUCAAAGAGUCGGAUUGUUUGGGAAUGCAGUCCAAAAUGGGUGGUAAAUUUCAUCUAAAGCUAAAUAUUGGCGAGAGACCGAUAGCGAACAAGUACCGUGAGGGAAAGAUGAAAAGAACUUUGAAAAGAGAGUUAAACAGUACGUGAAAUUGUCAAAAGGGAAGCGUUUGACACCAGUGUUGUUCUUCUCGAAAAUCAAUUAAAAAGAGUUUAGAUUUUGUUGUGUAUUGACCUUAACAGCUUGCAUUUCAAUUUUCUUGCUUUUUUUAAUGCACUUUUCGUUUAACAAGUCAACAUCAGUUUCUUUUGUUGUAAAAAGGUCAUUGGAAGGUGGCUUUCUUUUCGGAGAAAGUGUUUAUAGCCUUUGACUCCUGCAAUCGGAGAGACUGAGGUCUGCAGCGUAGAUCCUUCGGGGUUAGAUACAUUUGUGCUAAGUUAUAGCUUUUUAUAGACAACUUGUUGACUAUGAUUAGUCUUGUAGCUUACUCGCUUAUGCUAUUUUACCUACGCUUAGGAUGUUGAUGUGAUACUGCGAGCA
rnacentral:rRNA from 1 species